AAUUUGUACGCAAAUAAUUUUAUUAUAUUUUAAAUUUAAAUUAUUAAUCGUAUUUCAAAUCAAUUUAAAUAAUAUCCUUUUAAAUAUUUUAUAUGUACAUUAAUAUGGUUGUUAACCUACAUAUUGUGUAUGCGAAAAACAGUUAUGUUACCUACCUAUAAAGGCUACUUACUUGACUCAAACACGAUGGAUACGAUUGAAAACUUACACCGAGUAUAAAGAUUUUCAAGAAAGAAUAUUCGCAGUGUAUCGAAUUUUUAUUUGUUUAGUAUAGCAUUUAAGAAGAUACAAGUGCAGUAAAGCAGAGAAAUGUAUCAGUCUGUAUUGGAUUCAUUCUUCAUUGCAAAUUGGUUGAGAGUUAUAGCAAUGACUAUUGCACAACAUUGAAUAUGUAUUGAAACUAGUGAAUGAAAAUUUUGCUAUAUCAGAUGAGUGAAAACGGAGACAACACAUUCAGGUAAUAUGUGAGUGUGGAUAGAAAAUAUAUUGAACUAUUUAUGAUUGAUGACUUCGGAAGUUUUUUGUACCAUACUCAUAGAUAUAUGUAUAACUGCAAAGCGUGGGAAGGCGGCGAAUGCACGUGCAACUGACCAGCAGGGACCUGUUGAUGGAGCAUCUGAACAUUAUAGGGAGUCUCAGAUAGUUAGAGUCAGAGUAUAGCCAGAGUUAGAGCACCUUCACGCCACCUAGUUUAAUAAUUAUGUCUCACGGACUUAGAAUAAUUUCAUCAGUUUAUUUAAAAUAAUUAUUUGGACUUAGAAUAUUUUACAAUUAAACACUUUAAAUAUAUUCUAUCAGUAUUUAUUAUUUUAACUACUACCUCAAAUUUACUUUACUACGGUUACUCACACAUGGCAUGUUACAAAUAUUACAAUAAACAUUUGAUGUAUAAUUCAAAAUUUAAUUCAUAUAACAAUAAGAAGUAUUAUUAUUUUGAUUUUCGACAGAUUAUGUAUUUUUUCAUUUAUAUAGUAUUUUUAAGCUACAUGUUAUUGUACAUUUAUAUAUGAACACCUAUUAUUUUUUAUAACAUUUUUCCAAUAUUCUGGUCAUUACUUAGUUCACACACUGAAUUGAUGUAUGAUUACCUUGAUAGUCUUAUAACUUUUUGAGUUUGACUUUUUUUGAUUUGUUUGAACUGGCAUCAAUUAUAAAUUAUGUACUUCUAAUAUAUUAAAUUACGCAUACAUACAUACUUGUUAUUACUUAUCACUUAGUAUCAUUAAUCUAUAGUAUGAUUUCUAAACCAUUAUUUAUAUACAUAAUACAUAUUGCAAACUUUUGUCAUUUAUUUUAAUCAUUACCUACUUUGUAUAAAUAUAGUUAAGACCUUACCCUAUAAGAUAAAUUCAAUUAGAUAACAAAUAAAUAUUUAUUUAUAUUAUAAAAAAUAAAACAAUGAUGUAUAUAAUAUAGAUAAUAGAAAAUAAAAUAUUUUAUUACAAAUAAUAAUUUUCUUUUUACUAUAUUGAUUUUUUUACAAUUUAAUUAUUUUAUAAAUUAUAAUAUACAUUAUACAUAGUAUAAAAAGAUAACAUUAGUUUCUAGAUUAGAGCGUUAAAACUUGAAAGUAUUGUUUUUAAUAUUAAAUGUUUUUUUUUUUUUUGUAUGUUUGUUAUAUUUUGUAGUAAUGAAAUGUUCUAUCAUUAUCUUUGAGGAUGAUUUCUGGUAAAAAAAAGUAUCUAGUUUUAUUAGAUAAUAAUAAUAUAUUAUUCUAAUUUUAAAAUAUCUAUAAAAAUUAAAACAUAUUUUUUCUUUGUUUAUAUAAUAAUUUGUUAAUAUUUUAAUGUAAUAUUGUGUAAAAUAUUAUUUAAUUAAAUAAUAAUACGAUAAUCCUAUA